GACAGAGGCCACGAACGUUGUUCGGAAUCACUGGGCAUAAAGCGCACGUAGGCGGCUGGGUCCGUCCGAUGUGAAAGCCCCCGGCUCAACCGGGGAAUUGCAUCGGAUACAGCCCGGCUUGAGGACGGUUGGGGUGAGUGGAACUCCUGGUGGAGCGGUGAAAUGCGUAGAUAUCAGGAGGAACACCGGUGGCGAAAGCGGCUCACUGGACCGUUUCUGACGCUGAGGUGCGAAAGCUAGGGGAGCAAACGGG
rnacentral:rRNA from 1 species